rnacentral:rRNA from 1 species
CCGAAUAUGAGCGCAGCCUGAUCAGCGACGCCGCGUGUGUGAGAAGGCCUGCGGGUUGUAAGCACUUUCGAUGGGAACGAAAGGUGCCGGGCUAAUACCCCGGGAAGCUGACGUUACUCAAUGAACAAGCACCGGCUAACUCUGUGCCAGCAGACGCGGUAAUAAUG